rnacentral:rRNA from 1 species
UCAUUAAGUGAAUACAUAGCUUAAUGAGGGGAACUCAGGGAACUGAAACAUCUAAGUACCUGAAGGAAGAGAAAGAAAUUCGAUUCCGUAAGUAGCGGCGAGCGAACGCGGAUUAGCCCAAACCAAUGAAGUUUUCUUUAUUGGGGUUGCGGACAUAUCAUAACGAAGAGGUAUCGUAAUUGAAGAGGUUUGGAAAGACCCACCACAGAAGGUAAUAGUCCUGUAUGUUAAACGAGAAGACUU